UACGUAGGGUGCGAGCGUUGUCCGGAAUUAUUGGGCGUAAAGAGCUCGUAGGCGGUCCGUCGCGUCGAAUGUGAAACCCGGGGCUCAACUCCGGGCUUGCAUUCGAUACGGGCGGACUAGAGUUCGGUAGGGGAGACUGGAAUUCCUGGUGUAGCGGUGAAAUGCGCAGAUAUCAAGGAGGAACACCGAUGGCGAAGGCAGGUCUCUGGGCCACUACUGACGCUGAGAAGCGAAAGCAUGGGGAGCGAACAGG
rnacentral:rRNA from 1 species